CGUUACCUUUGUGUUCGCCCUCCGCCUCCAAUUCCAAAUCAACAAAGUCCUCGUAACAUUAUCCUCACUCCUUUCCUAACCAUAGCAAAGGAGCCUGUGUACCGCAGCUGCCACCACAGGUGUUCGUGCUGCGGGUCCGAUGUGCUCCAGCAGGAUCCACUGCAUGCAUGCAGCUGCGUGCCCAAGGGCCGCCCCUCCACCUGACGCGCCUCUCCUCUGACCUGGUGAGCCUCCUCCCCUCCCUCGACCUCGACCCCACUGCGACACGGCCUCCUCUUCCGGCCGAUCCGAUGUGCCACCUCCUCCGACCCUGACUUGGCGCCUCCUCCUCCCAAGCGGAUGUGUUCUCUUCUUGUACCUUAUGGAUGCAUGGAUGGAUGAAUAUGAAUGGGAUCUAUGGAUAAAUG
rnacentral:lncRNA from 1 species